AUGGAAGAGAGAGAAAAUGUAGAGAGAGGGAGAGGGAUGAGACGACGAGAGGAAGUGACGACACUCCGCUUUCCUCCGCUUUUGGAUUUAUUGGAAUUUCAGAAUUAGACAAUGGAUGAUUCUCUUGGAGUAUCAGAAGUUGUAAUGAUUCCAUUCAUGAAACGAGAAGUUCUCCAGCAAAUAUGUGCGAUUUUAGAUACGGAUAACACUUGGGAGACGAUUGCACCUUACAUGCCCGGAAUUGAGUUGAGAGAUGUUGAAGGUUGCAAGAGAUAUUCAAGUUAUAACCAAAGUCCAUCGGAGUUACUUUUAAGAAUAUGGAGCUCGAAAGGAUACUCGACAACUCAUCUUUAUCAACUUUUUGCGAAAACAAAAUUGAUUCGAUUGAUGAGAAUGAUGAGGUCACAAGUACAUGAGAAGUAUCAUUAUUUGGAGAACAAGGUCACAAAUUCGACGUCUCGAGUUUCGAAACAAAUGGUCCAACCGCCGGGGUCUCAAAGUGCGUCUCGUUUGAAAAAAACUGAAAUAAAAGAGUCAUCUCCGUCACCAGCAGCAGCAGCAGCUUCUCAGUUAUCCAGAAGUAACACUGACGAUACACUUCGUGUAGCAAUCGAAGGAACACUUCCAGUAACUUAUUGUGAACUUCUCGAAGCAACUAACGGCUUUGCUGUGAGCAAUGUAAUUGGAAAAGGUGGAUAUGGAACAGUAUAUAAAGGAGAAUUAAAAGGAACUGGAGGAAUUGUUGCAGUGAAAAGAUUACAUUCAGGAAAUGAUACAUCACAGAAUGGAUCACGAGAACGACUUCGACAGAGUUUAACAGAAUUACGAACACUGGCAAGAUUUAGACAUGAUAAUAUUCUACCAAUUUAUGCAUAUUCAUUGGAAGGAUCUGAACCAUGUCUUGUAUAUCAAUUUAUGUCAAAUGGAUCAUUGGAGGAUCGAUUGUUGUGUAGAAAAGGAAGUGUACCUCUCACGUGGAUUCAACGAAAAGAAAUCAGUAUUGGAGCAGGUCGAGGACUCGGAUUUCUUCAUUCUUUCGGAAAAACUCCAAUAAUUCAUGGCGAUAUAAAAACAGCGAAUAUUCUUCUCGACAAGCAUAUGGAACCGAAAAUCGGCGAUUUUGGUCUGUGUAGAGAUGGACAUGUUGAAGCUGAAGCAAUGGAAAAGCAUCCAUUAAUUGCUUCACAUAUCAAGGGAACACUUGCUUAUCUUGCACCAGAAUUCAUUACAUCAAAGAUUCUUACCACAAAACUUGAUGUCUAUAGUUUUGGAAUAGUACUUUUGGAAAUUGCAUCUGGUCAACGGGCAUAUUCGGAUUCUCGUGAAACUCGGGGGCUCGUUGAAUAUUGUCAGGUUAAUAAGGAAUUGGCAGCACAUCGGAAGAUUCCAGUCAGAGAGAUUUUUAUUGAUCGACGAGCGCCGCCACUUGUUGGUGAUGAGGAAAAAUCAUUUUUGGAUGCUCUGAUUGAAGUUGGAUUAGCUGGAGCGAAUAACGAUCGGAAAGUUCGACCGACUAUGUCACAAAUUGUUGAAUAUCUUUGUAAAAAUUCAAUUCCGCCAGUUGUCUAA
rnacentral:misc_RNA from 1 species